GCGAGGAGGGCAGUGAGAGGCUGAGUGAAAGCUGCGGAGUAAGCAGAGCUGCUAAAUGAAGCCCAACGCCGCACCGACGCACCUGUGCGCGUGUUUGUCCCCGUCCACGAAUCUGGCCCCCGGACCGGUUUUUCUGGCAGAAACUGGACUUCCAGAGUUCCUACCGGACCGAAGGAAACCAACACACGCAGAAACCUGCUGACGUCCGGCUUCGGCUGAAAACACACCUGAGAACACAAUGAGCACCUGUCAGAGUGUGUGUGUCUGUCAACAAAAAGGUGUCUGACCCAACAAGACGCACACAUUGCUUUCUACACGCCCGUGUGUGUGUGUGUGUGUGCGUAUCAACGCGCCAUUAGUGUCGUCACGGUAACAGCAGCAGCGAUUGCCGGGUGGUGGAAGCUGCCGCUGGUUGCCAAGGCGAUGUCAAGCCGCCGUGUGACCUUCGGAGCGGGGACGGACUCCGGCUUCUCUUAAGCGAGUCAGAGCGAAGAGGUUUUACAUUUGAGUUCAUUGUCUGUGAAAUCUGUGAAAAAACACAGAAUAAAACACACAAACCGAACUGAAUCAUCACGGCGGGAAAGAAAAUGAACGCGACACAGAGGGACCACUUCCUGUGUCCUGGCCAGGCCUUCCACACCCUCUACACCAGCCAGUGUGUACGAUGCUCUGACACCUGGAGAAGGAGUUAAACAUCCAGACUGCGGAUGGGCACCGUCAGGCCUCAAAACCCUCCUGGACCCGGCACCUACGUGACAAAAUUAAAGCAAAAAGGAAAAUCCCAUAAUGCCGUCAUCAUAUUAUUCACAAUAAAAACACACACUAAACGUUUUGGUCACUUACGAAAUGUUUGCCAUCUUUUUCUAAAGCCACUGAUGCUUCUCAGUGUAGCCUGCACAGAGGUGUUUAACCAAAGCCUGAAUGAUGUCUGUAGGGACCUUCCGGAGUUGACUCUACCGCCAGCUGUGGUUUCCUCAGAGCAAUCCUAACCCUUCACGGGGGGGGGUCUGCUUUUCAAACACUCCCCAGAUGUCCCUAAGCCGAGUCAGCUUCCUGCCUGGAACACGGCGAUCUAUGAUUCAUCGUCGGAGGAAACAGAAACUCGUCACUUUCCAUCUUUGAAAAUCGUCAUCGCGCAAAACUGCAGUGAAAGAGGUACAGCCAUCGACCAUGAAGCACAGCGUUACUCCUUUUUUUAUUAAAG